AUUGAACGCUGGCGGCAGGCCUAACACAUGCAAGUCGAGCGAGCGGCGGACGGGUGAGUAAUGUCUGGGAAACUGCCUGAUGGAGGGGGAUAACUCAUUGACACGGUAGCUAAUACCGCAUAACACAUGAUGUGCUCAGAUGCGAUUAGUGAGUUGGUGGGGUAACGGCUCACCUAGGCGACGAGCCCUAGCUGGUCUGAGAGGAUGACACGCCACACUGGAACGGGGACACGGUCCAGACUCCGACGGGAGGCAGCAGUGGGGAAUAUUGCACAAUGGGCGCAAGCCUGAUGCAGCCAUGCCGCGUGUGUGAAGAAGGCCUUCGGGUUGUAAAGCACUGUCAGCGGGGAGGCGUUACCCGAAGAAGAAGCACCGGCUAACUCCGUGCCAGCAGCCGCGGUAAUUC
rnacentral:rRNA from 1 species